rnacentral:snRNA from 1 species
GGAGGUGAGGAUGAUCUGGCUGUGACAUCUGUCACCCCCACCCCAUUGAUCACCAGGGUCGAUUUGGCUGAUCUGACAGGUGUCCCCUUCCUCCCUUACCAUUCCAUGUGCAUCCCUCCCAAAGGUGUGUGCUCAGUCUAAGAGGACGGCCAUCCCCACUACAGGAGGACUGUUCUUCAGUCAGGGGUGUACAAGUAACUGUGCUCCCCUGCUAGAACCAACACACAAGCUCUCGGUGUGACUUGUAAAACAAGGGAGUUUGGCAAUGCCUGGCAAAGCCAUCAU